rnacentral:lncRNA from 1 species
AUUAAGUUCCCUCUGUAUGCAGAAUAUUGUGCAACAUGGUUAUGGGUACUACAGUGGAUGUGAGUGUGUAGACCUUGUACAAUAGAGCUUAUAGGCUAAUGAGAAGACAGGAAGAAACAACAGGAACACAUAUAGCUGGAAUGCAGAUGGGAUCUGUGCUACUUACGCUAGCCAUGGGAUGAUUAGAACAAGAUAAGAGACAUGAGGAAGACUUCUUCAAGGAGGUGCUCAAGCCAUGUUUUGGAAAAGAGAACUCAAGGUCUGGCAGGGAGAAAGGAGCAAGACUGCCUGGCAGCUCUUUAGAAAGUUGUGUGACGUAUGAACCAGUUCUUCCCUAUAUGAGAGUGUACCGUACAUCGCAGGCUGUCCAGCAUCGACCCCACUGAUGGAUGCUAGUAGUCCUCCCCGCCAGCACUCAACAUUGUGACAGUCAAAAACAUCCUCUCUACAUUUUCAAUGCCCCUGUUGGGGUAGCAGGACUCCCACUGAGAGACCCCAGUAGAGAUGGGCAAGUAGAGCUGCAGCUGUCUGGCGCCACUGUAAUGCUGUCUCCUCCUCUGAGUGAGUUCAUCCUGGAAACAUUUUCUCCCAUAAGACAUGCACAGGUCUUACGUUUACAUGUUUCACUGAAAGAAAUUUGAUUCCACUGCUGGGAUGACAAGGAAGACUGAAGAAACCUAAUCCUAGGUGCUGCCACUGGGACAAACAAGAAGCACCAGACACAGUGCUGUUUUAGGGUGGGGCAGAAUUAUGCUGAGGGAAAAGUUAUUAUCACUCUUUAAGGCCAAGGAAACCACAAUUUUUAAAGAAGCUUCUAGAAAUUCUACCCAGUAGAAAAUAAAGAUAAACUUCUGUAAGGAAUUUCAUUCUUUUCAGAAUUCGCAAUCUGAAAUGUAGAAGCCCAUUCCUUCAUGGUUCUCAUAGAUAUUUAGUGUGACUGAGGGGUCAGUGGACUCAUAGCACUCAGGCCAGGCUUCUCCUGAGUCCCUUUCUUUGGCACAGAGGGAGUGAUUCACAGAUCCUCUACCCCCAAAGGCAUUGUUUCCUCAUCUCAACAAGAAUCCAGCACCCGUCAUUUUAUCAGCACACGUCACUAGCUUCUCAAGUGAGACUACUCUGAAGUGAUCUGUGUUUGAAGAAUGCCUUUCCCUUUCCCUUACGUAACUAAGAGGAUGAAAAAGGACACUCACUCCCUAUAUGAAAGCUGUGUAUUGUAAGCAGUCAUCUUGCCUGGCUGAGAACUCUAGGAUCUUUUUCUCUGCUCUCCUUUAGGCUGACACUCAUAGCCAGACCUUCUGUUUAUUAGCCCCCUGAAUCUAUUUGAAAAUAUUUUUGCUUUCAUUAUAAUAUAAGUCACAUUCUUCUUGCAUCUGCCGCUGCAUUUUCCAAAAGGGUUAUGUCAAGGGAAAUUCAACACUCACUUUUCUCAUUAUUUGCUUACCAGCUUGCUCACUCAUCAAAAUACCAGAGUUAUUUGAUACUUCAGAAGAUUAUUUCCCCCUUUAGAUGAUGUGUCAAGGGAAGGGGAGCUGGCCCCAGUAUCAGGUGACAGAAUUUUCUUCGCAUUUCUACUGUUGACUCAAUAAAUGCCCUUGGGCAAGUCAU